AGUGAACGCUGGCGGCAGGCCUAACACAUGCAAGUCGAACGGCAGCACAAGAGCGCUUGCUCUCUGGGUGGCGAGUGGCGGACGGGUGAGGAAUGCAUCGGAAUCUGCCCAUUUGUGGGGGAUAACCUCGGGAAACCGGGACUAAUACCGCAUACGACCUACGGGUGAAAGCAGGGGAUCUUCGGACCUUGCGCAGAUGGAUGAGCCGAUGCCGGAUUAGCUAGUUGGAGGGGUAAAGGCCCACCAAGGCGACGAUCCGUAGCUGGUCUGAGAGGAUGAUCAGCAACACUGGGACUGAGACACGGCCCAGACUCCUACGGGAGGCAGCAGUGGGGAAUAUUGGACAAUGGGCGCAAGCCUGAUCCAGCCAUGCCGCGUGUGUGAAGAAGGCCUUCGGGUUGUAAAGCACUUUUGUUGGGAAAGAAAAGCAGCCGGUUAAUACCCGGUUGUCAUGACGGUACCCAAAGAAUAAGCACCGGCUAACUUCGUG
rnacentral:rRNA from 1 species